UAUAAUUUUACAUGAACAAUGUUUUAAAAGAUUUACCUUUUUAAGAACAUUUAAAUCCUUUCAUUUUUUUAUAAUAUUCCGUAACAGUGCUGAGAAGAUAGAAUAUUGAUUUCUUUGGCUUUCCAUACAUUAUUGGAUUUCUCGCUUGGGUUUUACGCUGCUCAAAGAAUGCCACGUCAUGAAGCGAAACUUAAUAGAGUAGCCAAAGCAGUACUGUUUCAGAUACAGGAAGAAUAAUGGACAUUUGAAUAAUGGGACUUUUACUGUUUCGUGUGUGUCUAGUCAUUAACGCAUUUAACAUCGCAACAGAAAAUCCGGUUAGGGCAAAACCUUAUCGAUUUCCUGUUUAUCCUGUUAACGAAUGUCCUAGAAGCAAAGAUGAGUUUGAAACAGCAGCACAAAGAAGAAAUUGCACAAAAGGGUUACGAUAUCUGUGUGCCCCCAAUAAAUACCUAUCAUCUCUAAUAGAAUUUUGCACAGACCGACACAAAAGUCUUUAUCAAGAAGGUAACUGUGUAAUACUGGAAGGUACAGGUGACCUGGACCAUUACAGCUGUGUGGACAAAUUCAAUAGUACCUGUCCUUUGGAAUUUUAUAAUGACGAAGAGAUCUACAAAU